rnacentral:rRNA from 2 species
AGAGAUAAGGAAAGAUGGCUUUUGCCAUCACUUACAGAUGGGCCCGCGGCGCAUUAGCUAGUUGGUGAGGUAACGGCUCACCAAGGCGACGAUGCGUAGCCGACCUGAGAGGGUGAUCGGCCACACUGGGACUGAGACACGGCCCAGACUCCUACGGGAGGCAGCAGUAGGGAAUCUUCCGCAAUGGACGAAAGUCUGACGGAGCAACGCCGCGUGAGCGAAGAAGGUCUUCGGAUCGUAAAGCUCUGUUGUUAGGGAAGAACAAGUAUCGGAGGAAAUGCCGGUACCUUGACGGUACCUGACGAGAAAGCCACGGCUAACUACGUGCCAGCAGCCGCGGUAAUACGUAGGUGGCAAGCGUUGUCCGGAUUUAUUGGGCGUAAAGCGCGCGCAGGCGGUCCUUUAAGUCUGAUGUGAAAUCUUGCGGCUCAACCGCAAGCGGUCAUUGGAAACUGGGGGACUUGAGUGCAGAAGAGGAAAGCGGAAUUCCACGUGUAGCGGUGAAAUGCGUAGAGAUGUGGAGGAACACCAGUGGCGAAGGCGGCUUUCUGGUCUGUAACUGACGCUGAGGCGCGAAAGCGUGGGGAGCCAACAGGAUUAGAUACCCUGGUAGUCCACGCCGUAAACGAUGAGUGCUAAGUGUUGGAGGGUUUCCGCCCUUCAGUGCUGCAGCUAACGCAUUAAGCACUCCGCCUGGGGAGUACGGUCGC